GCUGCCCCUAGAGGCAUUGUAGAUGUAGCCACUGUGUCACAUGUAGGUUGAUAGUUGAAAAGGAGAGAGGCUAUGUCUACACUCAGAGUUCUGACUCUGAACAUCUGAAUGAUUUGUAGCCUAACAUG